rnacentral:snoRNA from 1 species
UUUAUCUCGUGAUGAGACUUUCAUGCACCACGCAGAAGAUAUUCCUUGGUGAUUAUGAAUCCUCUGAAGAUAA